rnacentral:rRNA from 1 species
GACGAACGCUGGCGGCGUGCUUAACACAUGCAAGUCGAACGGAAAGGCCCUGCUUUUGUGGGGUGCUCGAGUGGCGAACGGGUGAGUAACACGUGAGUAACCUGCCCUUGACUUUGGGAUAACUUCAGGAAACUGGGGCUAAUACCGGAUAGGAGCUCCUGCUGCAUGGUGGGGGUUGGAAAGUUUCGGCGGUUGGGGAUGGACUCGCGGCUUAUCAGCUUGUUGGUGGGGUAGUGGCUUACCAAGGCUUUGACGGGUAGCCGGCCUGAGAGGGUGACCGGCCACAUUGGGACUGAGAUACGGCCCAGACUCCUACGGGAGGCAGCAGUGGGGAAUAUUGCACAAUGGGCGGAAGCCUGAUGCAGCAACGCCGCGUGCGGGAUGACGGCCUUCGGGUUGUAAACCGCUGUCGACUGUGACGAAGCGUGAGUGACGGUAAUGGGUAAAGAAGCACCGGCUAACUACGUG